UAGCAAAAGUUUCUGGUCUUUUUUUUCAUAAGGACAGAUUUUUCCUCUUUUCUUCACUUUCACCCCUGAAACUCUCUCUUCUCUCUCCUCCGCGUCUCCUCAGACCCGCCGGGUCCCGACCGACCCGACCCGAGUUUUCCGGCGCCGUCGUGCGUCCUCCGGCCGAGGACCCGGGCCAUACGGGCUCGCCUCGGCCCGCUCGUCCUCCCCACAGUGGUGCCUCACCUCACCACUCAGCCCAGAAGGAGAUCGAAGGCCUCCCACAGCCGUGCGACAUGACCCGGAAGGAAUUCCAGUUUUCCGGCAUCCUCUCGGGCAACUGGGGCAGACGCUGUCUGCUCGCUGGCGCUUCCUCAUUCGGCGUCUCCUCCACGCAUCCUCUUCUCCGCGUCUCACUCUCUCUGCUUGUCUGUCGCUCACGUCAGCUACGUUGCCUUCGGGUCAAAAAUUUAGUCAGUUUGUUGGCUUUUCUUUCGGACUUGGUCAUCAAAAGCCAAAACUUGGCUGGUCACUUUUGGGCCGGUGGAGGAGAGUUUCACCACCUCACUAAUCCCAUGUUGUGGCCGGUCAAAACAAGACCGGUGGAAAUGCUCUCAUAAGAUAACUUGUCUUGUUUUUUAUUUUGUCGUAAUUAUAUCAUGAUAACUGGCUAUCUGAAGCAACGUGCAUGUGAUAAGAUAACUGGAUAUCUCAUCUUCCAAUGACAUUUUUGCUCUCUACUAGCUCCAUAAUCACACACACACAGAGCUUAGAGCUUCAAAAAAUCACAGUUGACUCCCCAUAGAAAUGGGUACUUACUCAGACGCCCACAUUUGCCACUGCCUGAGCCUCCUAUCCACUCUCCGGCGCAACUCCGUGGUCACCGUCGCCGGAAACCGGCGGAAGACUGGCGAGGAGUUCGUGGACGGCGUCAUGGGUCUGGCCCAUGGCCUGCUCCAACUGGACCUCCAGUCCGGUGACGUCGUCUCCAUUGCUGCCUUCAACAGUGAGUUGUAUUUGGAGUGGUUACUUGCAAUUGCAUAUGUUGGUGCUAUAGCUGCUCCUCUUAAUUACAGAUGGAGUUAUGAAGAGGCAGUUUUGGCAAUGGAGGUGGUGAGGCCUGCAAUGUUGGUUUCUGAUGAUAGCUGUGUAUCAUGGUAUUCUAAGCUUCAACAGAAUGAUGUUCCUUCUCUAAGGUGGCAUGUCAUGCUGGAUUCUUCCUCGGAUUUUGUAACGACUUCGAAUGUUAAUGUGUUAACUACUGAAACAAUUAGAAAGCAACGUGGGAGGGUUGCAUCAUUGGAUUACUGUUGGGCACCUGAGGGUGCUGUGAUCAUUUGCUUCACUUCUGGAACCUCAGGAAGGCCAAAGGGAGUUGUCAUAAGCCAUUCAGCCUUUAUAGUACAGUCCCUAGCAAAAAUUGCGGUCGUUGGCUACGGUGAGGAAGAUGUGUAUUUGCAUACUGCUCCACUUUGCCACAUUGGUGGUUUGUCAUCAGCACUAGCAAUGCUUACGGUUGGAGCAUGCCAUGUAUUUAUACCUAAAUUCGAUGCUAAAUCUGCCCUUGAAGCCAUAGGACAACAUAAUGUGACUUCUCUAAUCACCGUCCCUGCCAUGAUGGCCGAUUUAGUUUCUAAAUUCAGGGGAAAUGAUGCAUCUAAAUGCAUAGAGAAUGUCAAGAAGAUAUUAAAUGGAGGUGGAGGUUUGUCAAUUGCGCUCACCAAAGCUGCCACCAAGUUGUUCCCAAAAGCUAAGCUUCUCUCAGCUUAUGGGAUGACGGAAACGUGCUCUUCACUGACCUUCGUGACCCUGUAUGACCCGAAAGUCGAUCAAAGAAAAUCGCUCUCAGUUGAUCAAACAAGAGGUAUUUGUGUUGGCAAGCCUGCUCCUCAUGUAGAGUUGAAGAUCUGCGCCGAUGGGUCUUCUGAUGGGAGGAUUUUAACUAGAGGACCACAUGUGAUGCUUAGAUACCGGAAUGGAAGUCUGGCAAAUGCAGCUGCACAGUCCAGCAAUGGAGUUUGGCUUGACACAGGUGACAUUGGAUUCAUUGAUGACUAUGGUAACGUAUGGCUUAUAGGACGAGCAAAUGGUCGAAUCAAGAGUGGAGGGGAGAACAUUUACCCUGAAGAGGUGAUCAUCACACACAUUGACUAUGUGCACAAGUUACCAUGCAUGAUCACAGAUUGGAAUUUCAUCGUAGAGAGAACCCUAUUACGACAUCCAGGAGUUACCGGCGUUGUUGUUGUGGGUAUUCCAGAAGCUCGUCUCACGGAAAUGGUUGUUGCUUGUGUUCAAAUAAGAGGAAACUGGCAAUGGGUGAAUACAAGUACCAAAGACUCAGUUGCAAAUCCAAUGCUUCACAUUUCCAGUGAGAUCCUUUUGCGAUACUGUAAAGAAAAGAAUUUGACUGGGUUUAAAAUACCAAAGAAGUUCCUUGUAUGGAAGAAGUCAUUUCCGCUCACAACGACUGGAAAAAUAAGAAGAGACCAAAUUCGGGGAGAAGCUAUGUUGCAUCUGCAAUAUUUGAUUAGUCAUUUAUGAUUCCCUUUUCUACCUUCUCAUUGUUAAAUGAAGGUAAAAAUACACUAUUUUCAUGAUUGGAAUCAUGACCUCAUUCAAAAUUGGGAUUUUUGUUGUGCAACUAAAAUGAAAUUAGAAGCAUGGGGAAUUUAUUCUGAGAUUAAUCAGACGAAAUGAACAUGUAACUAUGCUAUGUAAAAAGCCAAAAUAUCUAUUGAGCUGGCAGACUGGCACAUGUACAAAACAGACCAUAAACCUAUACGAAACAGGUGAAACUUGAAACAAAAAUUCCUAGGGUAUGGAAGAGGAGAACUUGUGCUUUACAACAGACGAGGGUUUUACCUCGGCAACUAGACAAAAAGGACUCUGUAAAGAAGAUUAUAUUUCACCUAAACCAAGCUCACCAAGUGCACUGCCAGUACUGGUAGCAACUAUUUGCAUCUCUUUCUCUUCAGCAAAUUUGCUUCUGCAAAAGAUAUGGCAUCACAUAUAUAGUUCUCAUCAGACUCCAGCUCUUUCAAGCAUUUCCUUAGCAUUUGCUUCUGUAACAUAAAAAUGCAGAACGAUUAAGCAUAGGAACCAACAAUAUCAAAAACAACUAUGGAUCAUAUAUUAUAUCAAAUGACAUGGUUAGAAGAGAGAGAACAUUACCAAGUCAAAGGGCAGAUCAAACAGAUCUAAUUUCUGCACUUAAUUCCCUUCUUACCAGCUUCAAGAUCUCAGUUAUCUGAAAAAGCAAGAGAAAAGGCUGGAUUAAUACAGAUCUUUUUUCUUUACAUAUAUAUAUAUACACACACAACUGGGACUUUAACAGUGAUACUAGUAUGAAAUAUGCCCGCGCACGCGCACGCGCGUGUGUGCGCGCGCGUGCCUGUGACCUGUCUACUAUACAUAUACAUAUACAUACCUCAGCUUCAGUUUUCUCAAGGUCAGAACAUUUCUUUUCAAAUCUCUGCUUGUUUGUAUAACUUUUUGGGUGGUGAAGUUCUCAGAAACCCAAAACAGAAAAGAAAUGGCAGAUUCGCAGCCACGAGGUUGCAAUUGCAGAGCUCAAUGCUCUUUCAUCGUCCCGGACGGUGUAUCAGAAGAAUGGGAACUUAUUUUUCCAUACGACAAUCCAGAAAGCAUCGGCAUCUGAACAGAGUAGAAAUUUUUCUAUCAACUUCUAAGGUGACUUUCUCUGGCUUGGAAACAGCUCUACUGAUGCAAUUUUCCUUCUUCAUUGUGGGUAUUGGUCAGAACAACUAGAUUUGGCUAAAGCAAGCCUUGGAAAGUUGAAUUCUUCUUGAUACGGCUUUGUCUACAUUGAUGCGUCGGCAGCUUUCUAAGAAGGGGUGCAUUUCUUGUUGCAUAGAAUCGUGCUGCUUGGGAGUUGAGGAGACAUUUUCCUUGUUUGUUUUGGUCAUAGAACAAAAUUUCCUUUGCUUUUUGUAUGUCUCGGUGUUACCAUUGUUAGCUUUUAGCAUAUAGAUAUAUUAUUGAAGAGAAGUAGUCAUGGAAACUUUUGGAGAAGAAUGUUGUACAACUCAAAUAUGACUUUUGAAGUAUAUUAAUGAGUUAUUUUCCCGGAA